rnacentral:rRNA from 1 species
AUUGAACGCUAGCGGCAUGCUUUACACAUGCAAGUCGAACGAGUGGCGGACGGGUGAGUAAUAUAUCGGAACGUGCCCAGUAGCGGGGGAUAACUACUCGAAAGGGUGGCUAAUACCGCAUACUAUGGGAGCGGCCGAUAGCGGAUUAGCUUGUUGGUGGGGGAAAGGCUCACCAAGGCGACGAUCCGUAGCUGGUUUGAGAGGACGACCGGCCACGCUGGGACUGGGACACGGCCCAGACCCCUACUGGGGGCAGCGGUGGGGAAUUUUGGACAAGGGGGAAACCCUGAUCCAGCCAGCCCGCGUGUAUGAGAAGGCCUUCGGGUUGUAAAGUACUUUUGGCAGAGAAGCGGUAUCUGCAGAAUAAGCACCGGCUAACUACGUGCCAGCAGCCGCGGUAAUAC